GAGGAAUAUUGGUCAAUGGCCGAGAGGCUGAACCAGCCAAGUCGCGUGAAGGAAGAAGUAUCUAUGGUUUGUAAACUUCUUUUAUACGGGAAUAAAGUGAGUCACGUGUGGCUUUUUGUAUGUACCGUAUGAAUAAGCAUCGGCUAACUCCGUGCCAGCAGCCGCGGUAAUACGGAGGAUGCGAGCGUUAUCCGGAUUUAUUGGGUUUAAAGGGUGCGUAGGUGGUCUUUUAAGUCAGCGGUGAAAGUUUGUGGCUCAACCAUAAAAUUGCCAUUGAAACUGGGAGACUUGAGUAUGUUUGAGGUAGGCGGAAUGCGUGGUGUAGCGGUGAAAUGCAUAGAUAUCACGCAGAACUCCGAUUGCGAAGGCAGCUUGCCAAGCCAUAACUGACACUGAAGCACGAAAGCGUGGGUAUCAAAC
rnacentral:rRNA from 1 species